GGGUUGUGAGGUUAAGCGACUAAGCGUACACGGUGGAUGCCCUGGCAGUCAGAGGCGAUGAAGGACGUGCUAAUCUGCGAAAAGCGCCGGCGAGGUGAUAUGAACCCUUGACCCGGCGAUGUCCGAAUGGGGAAACCCAGUGCAAUCCGUUGCACUAUCGUUAACUGAAUACAUAGGUUAACGAGGCGAACCGGGGGAACUGAAACAUCUAAGUACCCCGAGGAAAAGAAAUCAACCGAGAUUCCCCCAGUAGCGGCGAGCGAACGGGGAGCAGCCCGGAGUCUGAAUCAGUUUGUGUGUUAGUGGAACGGUCUGGAAAGUCCGACGGUACAGGGUGAUAGUCCCGUACACGAAAGCACACUUGCUGUGAACUCGAAGAGUAGGGCGGGACACGUGGUAUCCUGUCUGAAUAUGGGGGGACCAUCCUCCAAGGCUAAAUACUCCUGACUGACCGAUAGUGAACCAGUACCGUGAGGGAAAGGCGAAAAGAACCCCGGCGAGGGGAGUGAAAAAGAACCUGAAACCGUGUACGUACAAGCAGUGGGAGCCUCUUUAUGGGGUGACUGCGUACCUUUUGUAUAAUGGGUCAGCGACUUAUAUUCUGUAGCAAGGUUAACCGUAUAGGGGAGCCGAAGGGAAACCGAGUCUUAACUGGGCGUUAAGUUGCAGGGUAUAGACCCGAAACCCGGUGAUCUAGCCAUGGGCAGGUUGAAGGUUGGGUAACACUAACUGGAGGACCGAACCGACUAAUGUUGAAAAAUUAGCGGAUGACCUGUGGCUGGGGGUGAAAGGCCAAUCAAACCGGGAGAUAGCUGGUUCUCCCCGAAAGCUAUUUAGGUAGCGCCUCGUGAACUCAUCUUCGGGGGUAGAGCACUGUUUCGGCUAGGGGGCCAUCCCGGCUUACCAACCCGAUGCAAACUACGAAUACCGAAGAAUGUUAUCACGGGAGACACACGGCGGGUGCUAACGUCCGUCGUGAAGAGGGAAACAACCCAGACCGCCAGCUAAGGUCCCAAAGUCAUGGUUAAGUGGGAAACGAUGUGGGAAGGCACAGACAGCCAGGAUGUUGGCUUAGAAGCAGCCAUCAUUUAAAGAAAGCGUAAUAGCUCACUGGUCGAGUCGGCCUGCGCGGAAGAUGUAACGGGGCUAAACCAUGCACCGAAGCUGCGGCAGCGACACUAUGUGUUGUUGGGUAGGGGAGCGUUCUGUAAGCCGUUGAAGGUGUGCUGUGAGGCAUGCUGGAGGUAUCAGAAGUGCGAAUGCUGACAUAAGUAACGAUAAAGCGGGUGAAAAGCCCGCUCGCCGGAAGACCAAGGGUUCCUGUCCAACGUUAAUCGGGGCAGGGUGAGUCGACCCCUAAGGCGAGGCCGAAAGGCGUAGUCGAUGGGAAACAGGUUAAUAUUCCUGUACUUGGUGUUACUGCGAAGGGGGGACGGAGAAGGCUAUGUCAGCCGGGCGACGGUUGUCCCGGUUUAAGCAUGUAGGCGGAGGUUCCAGGUAAAUCCGGUACCUUAUUAACGCUGAGGUGUGAUGACGAGGCACUACGGUGCUGAAGUGAUAAAUGCCCUGCUUCCAGGAAAAGCCUCUAAGCAUCAGGUAACACGAAAUCGUACCCCAAACCGACACAGGUGGUCAGGUAGAGAAUACCAAGGCGCUUGAGAGAACUCGGGUGAAGGAACUAGGCAAAAUGGUGCCGUAACUUCGGGAGAAGGCACGCUGAUGUGUAGGUGAAGUCCCUGCGGACGGAGCUGAAAUCAGUCGAAGAUACCAGCUGGCUGCAACUGUUUAUUAAAAACACAGCACUGUGCAAACACGAAAGUGGACGUAUACGGUGUGACGCCUGCCCGGUGCCGGAAGGUUAAUUGAUGGGGUUAGCUGUAAGGCGAAGCUCUUGAUCGAAGCCCCGGUAAACGGCGGCCGUAACUAUAACGGUCCUAAGGUAGCGAAAUUCCUUGUCGGGUAAGUUCCGACCUGCACGAAUGGCGUAAUGAUGGCCAGGCUGUCUCCACCCGAGACUCAGUGAAAUUGAACUCGCUGUGAAGAUGCAGUGUACCCGCGGCAAGACGGAAAGACCCCGUGAACCUUUACUAUAGCUUGACACUGAACACUGGUCCUUGAUGUGUAGGAUAGGUGGGAGGCUUUGAAGCGUGGACGCCAGUCUGCGUGGAGCCGCCCUUGAAAUACCACCCUUUAAUGGCUGGUGUUCUAACGUAGACCCGUAAUCCGGGUUGCGGACAGUGUCUGGUGGGUAGUUUGACUGGGGCGGUCUCCUCCCAAAGAGUAACGGAGGAGCACGAAGGUUGGCUAAUCCUGGUCGGACAUCAGGAGGUUAGUGCAAUGGCAUAAGCCAGCUUGACUGCGAGCGUGACGGCGCGAGCAGGUGCGAAAGCAGGUCAUAGUGAUCCGGUGGUUCUGAAUGGAAGGGCCAUCGCUCAACGGAUAAAAGGUACUCCGGGGAUAACAGGCUGAUACCGCCCAAGAGUUCAUAUCGACGGCGGUGUUUGGCACCUCGAUGUCGGCUCAUCACAUCCUGGGGCUGAAGUAGGUCCCAAGGGUAUGGCUGUUCGCCAUUUAAAGUGGUACGCGAGCUGGGUUUAGAACGUCGUGAGACAGUUCGGUCCCUAUCUGCCGUGGGCGCUGGAGAAUUGAGGGGGGCUGCUCCUAGUACGAGAGGACCGGAGUGGACGCAUCACUGGUGUUCGGGUUGUCAUGCCAAUGGCACUGCCCGGUAGCUAAAUGCGGAAGAGAUAAGUGCUGAAAGCAUCUAAGCACGAAACUUGCCCCGAGAUGAGUUCUCCCUGAGACUUUAAGUCUCCUGAAGGAACGUUGAAGACGACGACGUUGAUAGGUCGGGUGUGUAAGCGCAGCGAUGCGUUGAGCUAACCGAUACUAAUGAACCGUGAGGCUUAACCUUACAACGCCGAAGGUGUUU
rnacentral:rRNA from 2 species